UUCUACCUUGUGGAUCAGAGCAUACCGAAUUUAACUUUUUAAUGAGUACUCAGGGUUAUUGUUAUGAGCAUAAAGUAUAGGACUGUAUUACUACCACCGAGGGUGGCAGUACACUGGUAUCAGAGGAAUCCAGGCUUUCCUAAUUUUUGAUUUUCCAUUGUUAUUCUGUUUUAGAAAUAUCUGGAAAAAAAAAAGUGCUAAUAAUGGCCUUGUGUAUGUUUUUCAUGUUUACUGAAGAGUCUUCAGGCAAGAAAUCUUCUUGACAGAGACACAUUUUCUAAAUCUGAUCCAAUUUGUGUCUUAUAUGUACAAGGAGUUGGAAAUAAAGAAUGGAGAGAGUUUGGAAGAACUGAAGUAAUUGAUAAUACUUUAAAUCCUGAUUUUGUAAGAAAGUUUAUUCUGGACUACUUUUUUGAAGAAAGAGAAAAUCUUCGUUUUGACUUGUAUGAUGUUGAUUCAAAGAGCCCCAACUUAUCCAAACAUGUAAGUUCAUAUUUUUAUGUUUUUUUAACAUUAUAAUAUAAUGAUUAGUACUUAUGCUG